GCCCGGAGGCAGAUAAUUGAAGUCUGUCAGCGCAGGCUUCUCAGGAAGAGAGAUCCCGAAGCAUCCCAGCGCAUCCGUGUCAGCGUUUACAGGAGGAAGAUUCAGCCGGAAAUGAGGAGGACCAGCGGUUCAGGGUGCGGCUCCAAUGGAGAGGCGGUCCCAGUGUAAUCGUGUUGGCGUCUGGCAACUGAAGAAUCAGCCGGCAAUAAGCUUUCAGAAGAGGACUGCUGGUAUAAGAAUGAGGUAGAAGAAGCCAACUUUAGGAGUGAGAGGACCCGCCCUGUGCCCGCUUUGAGCGGCUCUCCGCCAGCUAAGGAAUUUAAACUGAAUGGGCCCAGAGUUUACAGAGUCGAUGGAUCUAAGGUGGAAUUCAACUUCACAGUGGUGCUGGCCAUUUUGAUGGAUGAGUUCACGGGUGUCAAGUUCACGGCUGUCAAGAUCUUCUGUGAUGUUCUGGAGGCAGCCAAUAAAUGGGAUGUAUUUGUCUACAUCCUUCUUAACCAAAGCAGAGUGAAGCUGUUUAGUGCAACAGGGCUCACAUCUGGACAUCUACCUCAAGGGUUUCGUGCAAUUGAUGCUUCCUCUCUGCUAUUAUCGUGCCCUGCGGAAAAUGAGUGGGAUGUGUGAUUCUGGGAAACCAGGCAAAAGAGAGAAACAGUCUCCAGUCUGAAGAUUUCGACUGACCAGCACGGGCAUCCCAUGCAUCUAUCGGAUACAUAGCUGUCGGUCCUUCGAGCGGCUAACUAAACUAACGACGAAGAUUGGCGCUUCAGAUUGUCACAUUCCUGGGGGUCAGUCGGCCAUUAACUUCGCCACUUUUCCUUUUCCUCCUUAAUUUUACCUCGAAAUGCAGUAUGCAAAAGUUAAGAGCAAGGACUCAAUUCCAAGCAUUUUGAAUAUUCUGAAAUUAUUUUAGAAGUCAAAAAAGAGGCCAUCCAGGAUAACUCACUGUCCUAGUAAUAGUUCUUUUUAUUUCUACUGGGAUGCAUGCUAGCUUCAGAAUAGAAGUGCUUCUAUUAUCAAUAUCAAUCAAUCAAUGAUAUGUAUUGAGCACUUAAUAAUAAUA